AUUGUCUUCUCCGUCAAAGCCGCAAGGUGAGCAGCGGCAGCGGCAGCGUCGGAGAGAAUGAGCGGAGACGCAGGAGGGAGAAGCUCGGGAUCUGCCAACACUGUCUUCCUCUUCCUCUUCCUCUUCAUCUUCCUCUGUCUUCUCCGUCUCAGCGGAGAGAAGCUCGGGCCACCGCCGUCAGCCUUUUCCUCUGUCUCCUCUGGUGGUCCGCCUUGCCACUAGCGCUGCUACACGUUCUCCUCCAUCUUCCACCUUGCCACCUGCGCUGCUCCGCCAUCUCUG
rnacentral:lncRNA from 1 species